GACGAACGCUGGCGGCGUGCUUAACACAUGCAAGUCGAACGGAAAGGCCUCUUUCGGGGGGUACUCGAGUGGCGAACGGGUGAGUAACACGUGAGUAACCUGCCCUUGACUUUGGGAUAACUUCAGGAAACUGGGGCUAAUACCGGAUAGGAGCUCCUGCUGCAUGGUGGGGGUUGGAAAGUUUCGGCGGUUGGGGAUGGACUCGCGGCUUAUCAGCUUGUUGGUGGGGUAGUGGCUUACCAAGGCUUUGACGGGUAGCCGGCCUGAGAGGGUGACCGGCCACAUUGGGACUGAGAUACGGCCCAGACUCCUACGGGAGGCAGCAGUGGGGAAUAUUGCACAAUGGGUGGAAGCCUGAUGCAGCAACGCCGUGUGCGGGAUGACGGCCUUCGGGUUGUAAACCUCUUUCAGUAGGGAAGAAGCGAAAGUGACGGUACCUGCAGAAGAAGCACCGGCUAACUACGUG
rnacentral:rRNA from 1 species